UCUGCGCUCAUUACUGUCGCACACUUCGUUUGGAUGUUAUUACGCCAGCCCAACUGCGCCCAUCGCGCAUAGUGUCUCUCGACUCCUCUACACACGCACGCCUCCCAAGAAGUCAACGUAUGUCACCUUACGCGCGGCGCGUGUGGCACGUGCCGUUACUGGGGCUUUCGGGCGGAUGCAGAAACGUCGGACAUUCGCCUUCGCAGGCAGAGGAAACCCACGUUCAAGCGUAGCAAGCUGAGACGACAAGAAGGGAGCUGCCGAUUAGCACGGUUGGCUACGUACGGUCGCGAAAAGAAGCUCAACGGACACAUAUACAGACGCCGCCUACCAGGCGGAGACGCGACUGAUGUGACCUGGUGAUCAUCUCCGUUUCUGGUCAAUCUUGCGUCGUCUGAGGCGCGGCGAAGGACAUCUGCGACAUGGAGUUCAUGUGGAGGGUGAUGGCCGUGGCGUGCUUGGUGUUCGAAGCGCGUGGCGGCGACGUCGACUGGGUGGCGUCGAUCGACCCCAACGAGGUGCGGGUGCCCGUGGGCUCCGACGUGAUGGUGCGCUGCACCCUCCUCCCCGCCGCCCCGCCCGGGAUGACGGCGCACGACAUAGUCUGGGUGUACGGCGCCCGCGAGCUGCCGCAGAGCCACGUGACGGUGCUCAACAACAGGACGUCGGUGGUCACUCUGCACGACCUCCAGCCGACCGAGCGUAGCAGCGCGGGGUCCCCUGGGGGCGAGCCGCUAAUGGGUGGGCAGACGCUCAUGUGCUUGCGACGCAAAGCGCCCGGCGACGAGAAGCACAAACUCCUGCGCAGCGCGGACAUCACCGUCGGAUGGAAGCCCUGCCCGCCUUCCGACUUCACGUGCUACAUGUUGGAUCAGACCAUCGUCAAUUGCUCCUGGCUGCCUGGUGAAUGCAGGGGAAGCCACAGGAGCAAGUACAGACUCAAGUACACAGUCGUGAACAGAUUGUGCAACGUUUCAGUGCCGUGGGAAAACCUGGCUCGGGACAACGUGAAGACGGCCGAUUGCUUGCAGACCGGCGGCUCCGGCGUGUACCACUGCCAGUUCGACCAGCCUCGCGUGUCGCAUGCCAACAACUACUGGAUGUGGGUGGAAAGCUCCAGCGAGCUGGGCUCAUCCAGCAGCAAGAUGCGUUGCAUGCACCUCUGGGACAUCGUGAAGCCGAGCCCGCCAGAGAAUGUGUUCUUCAGCGUUGGUCAAGCUCCUUCAUUUGGGCUAAGCCUGAUAUGGCAGCCACCAGCAGCACUGCCCCACAACAUCUACACCAUGCAGUACGAGGUGGAAUUCACGGCCAGCGACACCUCAAGUCCGCAAACUGAGGUGGUAGCAGUGGGCAACGACAUGUGGUACAGGAUUGACGGCGUGGAGGAGUGCUCCGUGUACACAGCGCGCGUGCGGGGACACGGAUACCAGCGCGAGGGCUUCUGGAGCGAGUGGAGCUCGCCGGUGUUGCACGCGGUCGGAGAGCUGAACCCUCCAGCGAAGGGGCCAGAUAUUUGGCGAGUUCUUGCUGACAACGAGACUGAGGACAACCGAGAAGUCACCGUGCUUUGGGAGCCCUUGUCCUGUGAAAAUGGCCGCUGCUGCGUUCAAGAGUAUAUCCUGUCGAUCAACACGAGUGGCAGGGUCAGCGAAAUCUUCGUCGGCAACGUCUCGUCGUAUCGACUUUCCCUGGGGCCAUCGCAGCACCGUGUCACCGUGGCCGCUCGCAAUUCCAUCGGACGAUCCAAACGGAACAUGCUGCUCGUAAUCCCAGCACGUUCCUACCAAGGGCCGGCACCCUCCCAGGUGUCGGUGCGUCCGGAUGCAUCGAGGUCCCUGCUGGUCACCUGGGCGGUGCCCGUGCUCACGGGGCGGCGCUUGCCCCCCCAGGGUUACCUGGUCGAGUGGGCCAACGUGUCGGCUCUGGACCUCGGCCGCAUCAGGUGGCGCCGUGUGAGCUCCAUCAACACGAGCGCGUUGCUCACAGAUAACUUCCAGGACUACGUGCGGUACAAGGUCUCUGUGUACGCAAGCUACCAGCAAGGAGAGGGGAAUUGCAGCAGCACCUACACCUACAUGAAGCAAGGAGCUCCAGUGGUGGCGCCGAGGAACGUGCUGACACACAGCUGCUCCGCGAGCGUGUGCGACGUCCGCUGGGACCCCCUGGGCAUCGACCACCUGCACGGCUUUCUCACCCACUACGCCAUCUACUACCGACCGUCGUUUGGCGACGGACAAGCAAAACGAGUGCUGGUGCCCUGCACAUCACCAGUGGAGGGCACAUGCAUAAGCAGCCACCGCCUAGAAGGGCUGGAGCCCAACACGGAGUACGAGCUUCAGGUGGCGGCUGUGACUUCAGCCGGAGAGGGUCCACGCAGCCUCACAAGCAAGGCCGUCACAGGUUUCCGUGAAUUCGUUUUCAUCAUGAUGCUCAUUGCCGGUCUAUUGCUUCUGUCCGGUGGGAUCAUCACAUGCAUCUGCAUCGUCAUCGUCCCAGCCAGAAUGAAGCAUGUAUUUUUUCACAAAGUUCCGGAUCCCAAAAACUGCAGCUGGGCAAGGGACAUUGACUUCAGCAAGCCCGAGAGCCUGCAAGGAUUCCUGAGAAUCACUCUAUCGUCAUCGCCGGACGUCCGCGAGACGGAGACGUUUUCAGAAAUCACGGUGGAUUGCGGCUGGAAACUGCAAGGGCAUUUGCUGGAGAAAGCGCUGGAUUUCGACGGCGGUUACACAACCACCGUUCCCGCACAUCUGCCCACAAGCCACGGGCUUGGCACCAAGGCGGAGGCGAGACGACCAAAGUGAUUCCAGAGGCGCCCUUGCCUUCCCGCGCACUGCCUCUCCCUGCCAAGCUGUUGGCUCUGGAGCAGCUACGCGCAUCCGCCGCCAGCGUCGCAUCAACACGCACCCAACUGCCGAGCUGGGCACAGUAUUCGCAGCACGAUGCGAUGUCUAACAUCGGCGGGGUGCCGGGACCACCGGGAGGCGUGAGACUCCCGGCCUCCGCACCGCUCACUGGGGCCUGGAGACGCACGUCUACGAGAACAGCGAUAUCAAGGCUGCGAUCAAUCCCACCCAGGCCUCGAGUGGCGGUGGCGGCGACGGCGGCGGUGGCCUCGCAAGCUCACUGCCCACCAGUGCACACCCCUUCAGUCUACAGCGGAAUAACAACUCGAACACGUUGCCACAGGGCCGCCCUGCGCUCGACGUUGAUGACAGCGGCGGCGCGGGAGUGAUGGACGGUGGCGUGAGCGGUGGUGGCCUGGAGGUGCCGGCCACCGUUUGGACUGGACGUCGUGAAACUUUGCUGCCCUGCAACGUUUUUAGUUAUCAGCCACAAGACCCUGCCUAUCACCUGCCCCUGAAUGGCAUUUACACCAACGGGCUACCUUGAGCGACGUUUUGGGGCAAAAAAACUCUGCUCGACCAUGAUUUGAUUUUUAUAACCCCUUGGACAAUGCCAAAAGGGACGGCAGCAUCUGGAACAAUUCUGUCACCUUACUAUUUUAAAAAUAGAUAAGACAAACUAAACGAUAGCAGCUUAUGGUCGUUUUUUUUACCUUCAUUGACUGACCAGGUGUCUGUGUGGUCUGAUGGCAGUUUCGUCUGAUUUAUGCGAGCAAUGUUACGUUCAGGUUUCAUAGUGAGCGAUGUGUAAGUUGUGAAAACUGUAAAUAUGGAUUUGAGUGCAGGACUGUCGAGUGUAAGUUCAAUCACUGGGGACACUGUAAUAAUGUUAAUAUAAGUGCUCACCUUUACUCAUUUCCAGCACAAUUUUCUCUUUUAAUAAGAGUAUCAGAAUUCUAUACAUAUAUGCUGUAUAAAAGAGACUAGUUAAUAAACAAUAGUACAAUUGUAUAUAUUGUCCAAACACUUGUUGAUUGCACAUACUUCGAAACAUCACACAUACAACAUAAUUUGUAAAUAAUAUUUUUGUUACUUACCUUAAGAGUUGCAGACACGAUGAUAUGAAAAGCCAAAUAUGAAUUAUCUUUGAAAUGAAGGUGCAAGUUGAAGCUUGCACCGAGUGUUGUUUUUAUAUAUAUUGUUUGAGAUAAUUUGUGUAAUGUUUUGAGCAGAGUGGAAACAUGAUGCGUACAUAACUACCUUGUAAAUAUCAUUGUUUAUUGUGCAUUCUUGUGAGUGUGAAACUGGACUAUUUAGUUACAUUGUGAUUCGUUUCAUAUCCACAUAUCUGUAUUAUUCAAUUUUGCGUCCUGUACCUUCUCUUCCAUUUUGGCUCGGAUAUAAUUCGUAAUAUUUUAACAUGUGGUCCAUAAAUAAUUCAGACUGCUCUUAUUGAACAGUUCAAUCAAAAUGGCAAACAGAACAAAGAAGAGCUGAUGGUUAAUCGGAGAACAACAAUGGACAUGUGCAAACAUUUGUACGAACAAUAGCAGAGGGGCAGUUAUUUAAUCUCUUGAAUUGUCUGCGCCUGUCCAUUUUAUUCUCAAAUGUUCAACUCAGUGCUUCCCCACGUGGGUUGCAACCUGUCCCUGCUUUUCCCAUUGGUUCGGAACAGAUGUCACAUUUGUUGGUACCACCUGAGGUGGCAUUACUUUAACUGGUUCAGUAAAUCGUGUGAUAAUCGUUCGGAGCAACUGAGUUAUCAAGUACGUGAUUCACUUGUAUUAGCCAUGAAGACACAUCGGUACGAGGAAAAUUGUGCCACCUUUGGUGGUACCGAUUUCUGCUCUGGCUCAUGGAAAAUAUUGCUCAUCCUCUUUUUGAAAUGGAUUUUUUUGAACACAGUUGCUGAGCCCAAAGGCCCAAAAUGCGCAGCAGUCAUCAACGAAAAAAAAAACAAAGCUGUUUGGGAUAAUAACACUCAACUAGUAAUAGCACUCAACUCACACGUAGUUUUCCCAUCCUCUGGAAUCAUGAUAUGUACUUCUUCCCAUGAUAUUUUCCGUUGUGUACCUCAUAGGUGGUAAGCCUACUUCCCACACACAUAAAUAUCUUCACACCACAUCUGAUUAUAUUUAUUUUACAACCCUUAUGCAUCAGCUUAUGCUUUGUGUUAAGAGAGGGAUUUUGAACGGUCUUAUGUGAUUACACAUCACUGUUCAUAACAUCGUUUUGUCGGGGUUAAAUCCGGUAAAUAAAAAUGUGUCGUUAAACCCUCCACCACCCGACACAGCCAAUUAGUAAAGGUUGUCACGUAAGCAGAAUAUAUGCCAAUUCGUUACUAGUACAGGAACGAAUUGUUGAAGAGCAAAUCCACAAUUUUUACAAGUACUCGGAUUGUAAAUGUUCCAAGAUAUCUGAUCAGUGUCGAAGAGUCGGCCAAAAUAAGCACGAAAGAGUUUUUUUUCUAGAAUUCCCUCCAGCAAAGGCCCUUCUACCAGGAGUGGCGUGACCAAAUAAUUGCAAGUGCUGCACCUUUGCCCUUCUAAAUUCAAUUGAUAUACUUUUUCCGAGACAAAUCACAUGAAAUAAUCUCACAAUAUAAACAAGUAUAUUCACUACUUGCACAAAUACCAUUGGCUUAGAACAUGAAACCAUAUAUAUAAUAAGCUGUCCUUUUGUAAAAUGGUUCUUUUUGUGAACAGAGAGAACAAACGUGACCAAUUGACUUUCACAAUGCAAAUUUGGGACAUUUAAAAAACAAAACAUUACAGUUAAACAGUUUUUAAUUGACAGGUUGAAGUGUUUUCCAUUUGGAGAGGAUUAGUAUUAAAUAAGCUCUUUUAAAAUAAUAUGCAUUGUUAUAUACUGUUUUAAUGAACGCAUUUACGUUUCAAAUAAAAUAACCAAAGGUCAUUCAAAAGAUUCAAUCAUGGGAAGUGUCGUACUGCCAGAGAGAACAUAAUUAGGUGAAAUGUAUGUUCUGCAUUAAUCCAUACCCAAUGUUAUAAUUUCAGUAAACGUAACACAUCCAUCGAUAACACUAACCCUAAAAGGAAAACAUAAUAAUGACCAUUCUUGCCCUUUGAAUGGCCAUUGCCUGAAAUGUCCCUGAUCAUAGAUUUUCUUUCCAUUUUUUCUGUUUGUCCUUUGCACCACUACCAACACAGUUUCUAAAAAAAAAAUAGUUCUGCCAUUACGGAAUCCCUCACAGUCACGUGUAUAAUGAUCUAAUACAUUUAAAGAUGUUGGUAAGAUAGCACUGCUCUCAUACAUUAUUGUAUAAUGUACGCUAAUGUAUUCCAAAUAAGAGUUCAAAGGCUUGACAUCUCGGGCACAAAAACGAGGACAUAUCAUGGGAAUAAAAGUCUCGCAGAGAGGAGAACUACAUGCCAACGCAUUGCCUUGAGUGGUGUGUUAUUAUUCAGCUGACAAAAAACCUGGAAUUUAAGUGUACCGGGAAGACUUACAGAUUUUACAAGGAUACUGUUGCCUCAACAAGAGCAUGAUCCUGUGGAAAUAAAGACGUCACAAUCCUAUGUUUACCACAUAGAAAAUAUCUUAUCAGGCAGUCAUGUUGAUUCUUUUAAAAGGAUGGUGGGCGGAACAUAUCGCUGAAAGGGAUGGAGGCCGAUGGUCCAGAAGAGUGACGAGCAGCCAAGGAAUGUAACUCCUUUGAGAGGGUGUCCACUGAAGACAUGGCACGAUGAAAUCCGCUUGUGUGCAGGUGCUGGAUGGAUGUUUAUGCUGGAGGAGAAGGUGGCGGUUUGAGGAGGCCUUCAACCAACGAAUGACCAUGGCAGAUGAUGAUGAGGCCGAUACUGCUUUUCAUCUCCCGACCCAUGAAGGGAAUCAUAACUUGGUUCCAGCACAUGGCUUACAUCUAUUUGACACACAGACACACACGCGCGUGUA